rnacentral:rRNA from 1 species
AGAGUUUGAUCCUGGCUCAGAUUGAACGCUGGCGGCAGGCCUAACACAUGCAAGUCGAACGGUAACAGGAAGCAGCUUGCACCUGGUGGCGAGUGGCGAACGGGUGAGUAAUGCACCGGAACGUACCCAGUAAUGGGGGAUAACACAUCGAAAGAUGUGCUAAUACCGCAUACGCCCUGAGGGGGAAAGCGGGGGAUCGUAAGACCUCGCGUUAUUGGAGCGGCCGAUGCCGGAUUAGCUAGUUGGUGAGGUAAGAGCUCACCAAGGCGACGAUCCGUAGCUGGUCUGAGAGGACGACCAGCCACACUGGGACUGAGACACGGCCCAGACUCCUACGGGAGGCAGCAGUGGGGAAUUUUGGACAAUGGGCGCAAGCCUGAUCCAGCCAUGCCGCGUGAGUGAAGAAGGCCUUCGGGUUGUAAAGCUCUUUCGCAAGGAAAGAAAACUUAUCUACUAA